CCCGCUGAACUUAAGCAUAUCAGUCAGCGGAGGAAGAGAAACCAACUGGGAUUGCCCUAGUAACGGCGAGUGAAGCGGCAAAAGCUCAAAUUUGAAAUCGGGUUCGUGCUAUGCGGAUACCGAGUUGUAGUUUAAAGAAGGUGCCUUGGCAGCAGUACUGGUUUAAGUCUUUUGGAAUGAGGCGCCAUAGUGGGUGAGAGCCCUAUAGGAUCAGUAAUGCGGCCAGUUUGGGCCCUUUCUAAGAGUCGAGUUGCUUGGGAGUGCAGCUCUAAUUGGGAGGUAAAUUUCUUCCAAAGCUCAAUAUUCUGCUAGAGACCGAUAGUGCACAAGUAGAGUAAUCGAAAGAUGAAAAGCACUUUGGAAAGAGAGUGAAAUAGCAUGUGAAAUUGUUGAAAGGGAAACGUUUCCAGCCAGACGUGUCUAGUGUAUUCUGCUGUACUUUGUGCGGCGUGUUUACUACUAGAUAGGCUAGCAUUAGUUAGGUUGUUUGAGAAAUGCAGUAUAGGAUGUAGCUCCUUAGUGAGUGUUAUACCUAUCUGCACUUGCGACCAUCUGAACUAAGGAUUGCGCUUUUGCAUAGAUGCUAGCGUAAUGGUUGCAAACGACCCGUCUUGAAACACGG
rnacentral:rRNA from 1 species